CCCUUAGAUGUUCUGGGCCGCACACGCGCUACACUGGCAGGUUCAUCGAGCUUCAUGCCCUGAUCUGAGAAGAACGGGAAAUCUUUGAACACCUGCCGUGCUUGGGAUAGAUGUUUGCAAUUAUUCAUCUUCAACGAGGAUUGCCUUGUAAGCGCACGUCAUCAGCGUGCAUUGAAUACGACCCUGUAUUCUGUACACACCGCCCGUCGCUCCUACCGAUCGAAGUUUUCGGUGAAUUUACUGGAGAUCCCUUUUGAAGGUGGUUCGCCACUGGAAGAAGUAUUCAAAAGUAAAUGAAUCGAAUGCUUUAGAGGAAGGAGAAGUCGUAACA
rnacentral:rRNA from 1 species